rnacentral:rRNA from 1 species
GACAGAGGAUGCAAGCGUUAUCCGGAAUGAUUGGGCGUAAAGCGUCUGUAGGUGGCUUUUUAAGUCCGCCGUCAAAUCCCAGGGCUCAACCCUGGACAGGCGGUGGAAACUACCAAGCUGGAGUACGGUAGAGGCAGGCGGAAUUCCGGGUGUAGCGGUGGAAUGCGUAGAGAUCCGGGAAGAACACCGGUGGCGAAGGCGGCCUGCUGGGCAGUUUAGCUGACACUGAGGCGCGACAGCGUGGGGAGCAAA